rnacentral:lncRNA from 1 species
UGUGCGUAUUGUUAUGCGUUUACUUUACUACAUUGGUUAGAGGUAUAGGGGGAGGGUUGAGAUCUCACAAACAUGUUUAACCCCGCCGCAUUUUUGCGCCUGUCCCAAGUCAGGAGCCUCUGGCCUUUGUUAGUCUUGUAUUAUUUUAAUUUUAGUUUCUUGUGUACAAUUUGGAAAUUAGUAUGGCGUUCAUUAUCACUGGACUAGUAUAUAUUUGUUUAGGGGCCAGCUGAAGGACGCCUCCGGGUGCGGGAAUUUCUCGCUACAUUGACGACCUGUUGGUGACCCUCUGCUGUUGUUUUUUAUUUGGUCGGGUUGUUGUCUCUUUGACACAUUCCCCAUUUCCAUUCUCAAUUUUAU